rnacentral:rRNA from 1 species
UACGGGGGGGGCAAGCGUUGUUCGGAAUUACUGGGCGUAAAGGGCUCGUAGGCGGCCAACUAAGUCAGACGUGAAAUCCCUCGGCUUAACCGGGGAACUGCAUCUGAUACUGGAUGGCUUGAGUUCGGGAGAGGGAUGUGGAAUUCCAGGUGUAGCGGUGAAAUGCGUAGAUAUCUGGAGGAACACCGGUGGCGAAGGCGGCAUCCUGGACCAACACUGACACUGAGGAGCGAAAGCCAGGGGAGCAAACGGG